rnacentral:rRNA from 1 species
GACGAACGUUGGCGGCGUGCUUAACACAUGCAAGUCGAACGGAAAGGCCCUGCUUUUGUGGGGUGCUCGAGUGGCGAACGGGUGAGUAACACGUGAGUAACCUGCCCUUGACUUUGGGAUAACUUCAGGAAACUGGGGCUAAUACCGGAUAGGAGCUCCUGCUGCAUGGUGGGGGUUGGAAAGUUUCGGCGGUUGGGGAUGGACUCGCGGCUUAUCAGCUUGUUGGUGGGGUAGUGGCUUACCAAGGCUUUGACGGGUAGCCGGCCUGAGAGGGUGACCGGCCACAUUGGGACUGAGAUACGGCCCAGACUCCUACGGGAGGCAGCAGUGGGGAAUAUUGCACAAUGGGCGGAAGCCUGAUGCAACAACGCCGCGUGCGGGAUGACGGCCUUCGGGUUGUAAACCGCUUUCGCCUGUGACGAAGCGUGAGUGACGGUAAUGGGUAAAGAAGCACCGGCUAACUACGUGCCAGCAGCCGCGGUGAUACGUAGGGUGCGAGCGUUGUCCGGAUUUAUUGGGCGUAAAGGGCUCGUAGGUGGUUGAUCGCGUCGGAAGUGUAAUCUUGGGGCUUAACCCUGGGCGUGCUUUCGAUACGGGUUGACUUGAGGAAGGUAGGGGAGAAUGGAAUUCCUGGUGGAGCGGUGGAAUGCGCAGAUAUCAGGAGGAACACCAGUGGCGAAGGCGGUUCUCUGGGCCUUUCCUGACGCUGAGGAGCGAAAGCGUGGGGAGCGAACAGGCUUAGAUACCCUGGUAGUCCACGCUGUAAACGGUGGGUACUAGGUGUGGGGUCCAUUCCACGGGUUCCGUGCCGUAGCUAACGCUUUAAGUACCCCGCCUGGGGAGUACGGCCGCAAGGCUAAAACUCAAAGGAAUUGACGGGGCCCCGCACAAGCGGCGGAGCAUGCGGAUUAAUUCGAUGCAACGCGUAGAACCUUACCUGGGUUUGACAUGGAUCGGGAGUGCUCAGAGAUGGGUGUGCCUCUUUUGGGGUCGGUUCACAGGUGGUGCAUGCCUGUCGUCAGCUCGUGUCGUGAGAUGUUGGGUUAAGUCCCGCAACGAGCGCAACCCUUGUUCACUGUUGCCAGCACGUUAUGGUGGGGACUCAGUGGAGACCGCCGGGGUCAACUCGGAGGAAGGUGGGGAUGACGUCAAGUCAUCAUGCCCCUUAUGUCCAGGGCUUCACGCAUGCUACAAUGGCUGGUACAGAGAGUGGCGAGCCUGUGAGGGUGAGCGAAUCUCGGAAAGCCGGUCUCAGUUCGGAUUGGGGUCUGCAACUCGACCUCAUGAAGUCGGAGUCGCUAGUAAUCGCAAAUCAGCAACGCUGCGGUGAAUACGUUCCCGGGGCC